rnacentral:rRNA from 1 species
CACGUAGGGGGCAAGCGUUGUCCGGAUUUAUUGGGCGUAAAGAGCUCGUAGGUGGUUCGGUAAGUCGGGUGUUAAACCCCCAGGCUCAACCUGGGGACGCCACUCGAUACUGCUGUGACUAGAGUCCGGUAGGGGAGCGUGGAAUUCCUGGUGUAGCGGUGAAAUGCGUAGAUAUCAGGAGGAACACCUGCGGUGUAGACGGCUUACUGGACCAUAACUGACGCUGAGGCACGAAAGCGUGGGUAGCAAACAGG